rnacentral:rRNA from 1 species
UACGUAGGUGACAAGCGUUGUCCGGAUUUACUGGGCGUAAAGAGCGCGCAGGCGGUCGAUCAAGUCGAGUGUGAAAGCCCCCGGCUCAACUGGGGAGGGUCAUUCGAUACUGAUCGACUCGAAGGCAGGAGAGGGUAGUGGAAUUCCCGGUGUAGUGGUGAAAUGCGUAGAGAUCGGAAAGAACACCAACGGCGAAAGCACUCUGCUGGGCCGACACUGACACUGAGAGACGAAAGCUAGGGGAGCGAAUGGG